rnacentral:rRNA from 1 species
AGCGAACGCUGGCGGCAGGCCGAACACAUGCAAGUCGAACGAACUCUUCGGAGUUAGUGGCGGACGGGUGAGUAACACGUGGGAACGUGCCUUUAGGUUCGGAAUAACUCAUGGAAACUUGUGCUAAUACCGAAUGUGCCCUUCGGGGGAAAGAUUUAUCGCCUUUAGAGCGGCCCGCGUCUGAUUAGCUAGUUGGUGAGGUAAAGGCUCACCAAGGCGACGAUCAGUAGCUGGUCUGAGAGGAUGAUCAGCCACAUUGGGACUGAGACACGGCCCAAACUCCUACGGGAGGCAGCAGUGGGGAAUCUUGCGCAAUGGGCGAAAGCCUGACGCAGCCAUGCCGCGUGAAUGAUGAAGGUCUUAGGAUUGUAAAAUUCUUUCACCGGGGACGAUAAUGACGGUACCCGGAGAAGAAGCCCCGGCUAACUUCGUGCCAGCCGCCGCCGUAA